AUUUAAGUAAUUUAAAAUAAAAUAUUGAUUUGUGGUGUCAAAUAUGUAACAUAUUACCUUAAAUU
rnacentral:tRNA from 1 species